UGACUGUUGAUACUGGGCGUUAGCAACCCGCCAGCCAGCUAGCUAGAUCGAACUGAAGCUAUCUGUUGCUGUCGACUCAGCUGCUCAAUCUGCUUCAACAAGAACUGCUUGUCACGGCCCUCCUGUGAUCUGACUCCACAGGGUGAAGAGGAGAACGCCCAGACUCACCAGACGAAGGAACACUGCCCUGAACAUGGAAGACAAAACGCAAGUCAAUAUCAAAACAAUUAUCCACCUGACAGAGGGUGAGAGAAGAGAACAGGGGUCAUCUGAAAGCAUGCAGGGAGUGAUUGUGCAGAACUAGGUUGUGCUGCUAAGUGGGACAGAUCCCCUCUGACCUGCAGCUGGUAGUGGAUGUUCUUCUGCUUCAGUUUGGUAGCUCGCUCUCCCGGGCAGCCGUAGUCCCAGCUGGUGAACACAAUCAUGCUGUAGUUGCCCACAGCGCUGCCUCCCGUUGCCACAGCAACCCGCGCUGCAGUCCCCAUGCUGUGCGUGAGCAGUCAGUCAGAGAGGACAAUACAGACGCAGGUCAAGGUGACUGAACUCUCUGCUUUUAAAUGUCAUUCUGUUUAUUUCACUCAUUGACCGUAUAACUGAAACUUGUGGCAGAGUUAAACAUUUAAUAGCUAGAAUAAAUUGUUGUGGGAGUUAUCUGAACAGAACUGAAUGUUCCCAACCUGAGAUAUGGUAGGAUGAAGUAAUAUACAGGCGCAUCUCAAUAAAUUAGAAUAUCAUGGAAAAGUCCAUUUCCAGUAGUUUAAGUCAAACAGCUCCAACCAAGUAUUGAGUGCAUAUAGAUGGACAUACUUUUCAGAGGACAACAUUUCCAUAUUAAACAUACUUUUUAAAAUUGGUCUUUUGUAAUAUUAACAUUUUUUUGAGACACUGAAUUUUAUCUCUUCAUUAAAUGUAAGCCAUAAUCAUUAUAAUAAGAAGAAAUUAAAUAAAUUAGGACAUGAAAUGUUUAAUUCUAUGAUUAAUAGAUCUAUAUUAUGUGUUAUUUCCACUUUUUAAUUGAAUGACUGACAUAAAUAAACUUUUCUAUGAUAUUCUAAUUUAUUGAGAUGCACCUGUAAGAUCAGAUGGGACAAAGAUUUACCUCUGUAAUACAAAUCCUAUAGUCUAUUACUUUCUUAAGAUAAGAAACAUUUAUGAUGGGAAGUGAAUGUAAUAGGACACACACUCACACACAUGCAUCACACAGGCUGCAUCUUGAUUUCUAACAGUGAACCAGUUUGUUGUGGGACUGACCGUGCAAUGAUACAAAUGAAACAAAAAGCAAAGUAGAAGACGGCAGUGAAGACGUAGGCCAGGGGAAUGUUGUAGGAGAAGUUACUGUCCGUCACCAUUGUGUUGUUGUAGUAGCCAUAAAACAGGUAUGAAUACUCCAUGAAACCCUGAACAAAAAGGAGAGGACAGUCAAGGAGCAUCUCUGAUGUACAAAAUGGUAAUGGAUGGACUUUAUAUGUACUUUCAUCAGCAGAAAAUAGAUUAAAAGCAUGUGAUAGCAGAAGAACACUGAGGUCAAGUUAAUGUAUUUUGGGGGAUGUGGAGGAUUUUUCAUCCUGUUGCUAUGUGUAACUUUCAGUUUUGUUAAAAAAUUGUGUGUGGAAAUAGCCUAUGACAACAUUAUACCCUUAUUCUACAUAAACCUGGAGGACUUAUUCUAUUCUUUCUAAAAUCUUAGCAAUGAUUUUGUGUUGUAGAGUUCAAACAUAUAUAAAAAAACAAAUGUAUAAAGAAGCAGAAUGUCCAAUAAAGAAAAAACAACAACAACAACUAAUAUCUGUUUCACUAUACAUUCUGUAUGUCUCAUAUCUUUGUAGGUCAUUGUGAUGCUGCAGUUUCUCACCGUUCCUGAAAGUAAGUCAAGGAAGUAAUUAUAGAACACCACCAGGCCUUCAGGAUUAGGCUCAUAUUCCAUGCAUACCUCUGGACCUGGAAAACACAGAAAGGAUCUGAAGACAAUGCUGGGGACGAGGACAAAUCCAGCGAUCAGUAAAAAGGAGAAAAAAUUGAGCAGCACCAAGAAUCGUAGGAACAGGAAGUAAGACUGGACACCACCUCCAAAGUUCCCUGUAGUAGAAAAGGGUAAUUAAAGAAAUGCAAACAUUGAUUUAAACCAUGUGUACAACACUUGUCUUUGACCAUAUUAAGUUUGCAUGAUCUAAAAUCCUGAAAUCAGCUGUUAAAGGUGUACCUCCGAUCUUUUGCAAAGUCUUGCUCCACAGUGCGAAAAAGUUGAGAGUUGCUCUGGCGCCAUUUUUGAGUUUGAGCAGUGAUUUGGCCCUUUUCCGUUUCCAGGACUCCCUGCUGGAAACCACAGGCACCUGCAUCUGCUGCACCUGCCUGUAAUGGACACAUUCCAAGACAUUUCCCUUUAAAGAAAUGUGUAAUUUGGUUCUAAUUAUAGGGAAACUAGAGAGUUGGUACAAUAAUUCAUUCCACAUAAUUACCGUGGGUGACUUUUCUGUCACAUUAGUAUUCUCUGUAUUAAACUGUGUACAAUUUAAAUGAGUAAAGUCCUCUUCCAUCAGAAAUGUGUUGCUUAUUGUUAAUUCACCCCCAUGUUGCACCAUAUAUGUGUGAAGACUGUAUGAGUGUUUGAAGUAGAAACGUCUCUUUGUGCUCACCUUACAUUUGAGUUUAAAAUGAGUGGGUAUUUAUUUUCAUUAUUUUU